rnacentral:rRNA from 1 species
AGUGAACGCUGGCGGUAGGCCUAACACAUGCAAGUCGAACGGCAGCACAGUAAGAGCUUGCUCUUACGGGUGGCGAGUGGCGGACGGUUGAGGAAUACAUCGGAAUCUACUUUUUCGUGGGGAAUAACGUAGGGAAACUUACGCUAAUACCGCAUACGACCUAUGGGUGAAAGCAGGGGAUCUUCGGACCUUGCGCGAUUGAAUGAGCCGAUGUCGGAUUUGCUAGUUGGCGGGGUAAAGGCCCACCAAGGCGACGAUCCGUAGAUGGUCUGAGAGGAUGAUCAGCCACACUGGAACUGAGACACGGUCCAGACUCCUACGGGAGGCAGCAGUGGGGAAUAUUGGACAAUGGGCGCAAGCCUGAUCCAGCCAUACCGCGUGGGUGAAGAAGGCCUUCGGGUUGUAAAGCCCUUUUGUUGGGAAAGAAAAGCAGCAGGUUAAUACCCCGCUGUUCUGACGGUACCCAAAGAAUGAGCACCGGCUAACUUCGUG